GACGACGCUGGCGGCGUGCCUAAUACAUGCAAGUAGGACGAGUUGCGAACGGGUGAGUAAUGUCUGGGAAACUGCCUGAUGGAGGGGGAUAACUACUGGAAACGGUAGCUAAUACCGCAUACCAUCGGAUGUGCCCAGAUGGGAUUAGCUAGUGGGUGGGGUAAAGGCUCACCUAGGCGACGAUCCCUAGCUGGACUGAGAGGAGGACAAGCCAUACUGGAACUGAGACACGGUCCAGACUCCUACGGGAGGCAGCAGGGGGGAAUAUUGCACAAUGGGCGCAAGCCUGAUGCAGCCAUGCGGCGUGUAUGAAGAAGGCCUUCGGGUUGUAAAGUACUUUCAGCGGGGAGGCGUUACCCGCAGAAGAAGCACCGGCUAACUCCGUGCCAGCAGCCGCGGUAAUUC
rnacentral:rRNA from 1 species